GACGAACGCUGGCGGCGUGCUUAACACAUGCAAGUCGAACGGACAGGCCCUGCUUUUGUGGGGUGCUCGAGAGGCGAACGGGUGAGUAAAACGUGAGUAUCCUGCCCUUGACUUUGGGAUAACUUCAGGAAACUGGGGCUAAUACCGCGUAGGAGCUCCUGAUGCAUGGUGGUGGUUGGAAAGUUUCGGCGGUUGGGGCUGGUCUCGAGGCUUAUCAGCUGGUUUGUGAGGUAGUGGCUUACCAAGGCUUUGACGGGUAGCCGGCCUGAGAGGGUGACCGGCCACAUGGGGACUAAGAUACGGCGCAGUAUGCUACGGGAGGCAGCAGGGGGGAGUAUUGCAGAAUGGGCGGAAGCCUGAUGCAGCAACGCCGCGUGCGGGAUGAUGGCCUUCGGGUUGUAAACCGCUUUCGACUGAGACGAAGCGUGAGUGACGGUAAUGAGUAAAGAAGCAACGGCUAACUACGUG
rnacentral:rRNA from 1 species